rnacentral:rRNA from 1 species
UUACUCGGGGAUAGCCUUUCGAAAGAAAGAUUAAUACCUGAUAGUAUGGUGAGAUUGCAUGAUAGCACCAUUAAAGAUUUAUUGGUAAACGAUGGGGAUGCGUUCCAUUAGGUAGUAGGCGGGGUAACGGCCCACCUAGCCGACGAUGGAUAGGGGUUCUGAGAGGAAGGUCCCCCACAUUGGAACUGAGACACGGUCCAAACUCCUACGGGAGGCAGCAGUGAGGAAUAUUGGUCAAUGGACGAGAGUCUGAACCAGCCAAGUAGCGUGAAGGAUGAAGGUCCUACGGAUUGUAAACUUCUUUUAUAAGGGAAUAAACCCUCCCACGUGUGGGAGCUUGUAUGUACCUUAUGAAUAAGCAUCGGCUAACUCCGUGCCAGCAGCCGCGGUAAUACGGAGGAUGCGAGCGUUAUCCGGAUUUAUUGGGUUUAAAGGGAGCGCAGACGGGUCGUUAAGUCAGCUGUGAAAGUUUGGGGCUCAACCUUAAAAUUGCAGUUGAUACUGGCGUCCUUGAGUGCGGUUGAGGUGUGCGGAAUUCGUGGUGUAGCGGUGAAAUGCUUAGAUAUCACGAAGAACUCCGAUUGCGAAGGCAGCACACUAAUCCGUAACUGACGUUCAUGCUCG